rnacentral:rRNA from 1 species
GACGAACGCUGGCGGCGUGCCUAAUACAUGCAAGUAGAACGCACAGUUUAUACCGUAGCUUGCUACACCAUAGACUGUGAGUUGCGAACGGGUGAGUAACGCGUAGGUAACCUGCCUGGUAGCGGGGGAUAACUAUUGGAAACGAUAGCUAAUACCGCAUAAUAUUAAUUAUUGCAUGAUAAUUAAUUGAAAGGUGCAAUUGCACCACUACCAGAUGGACCUGCGUUGUAUUAGCUAGUAGGUGAGGUAACGGCUCACCUAGGCGACGAUACAUAGCCGACCUGAGAGGGUGAUCGGCCACACUGGGACUGAGACACGGCCCAGACUCCUACGGGAGGCAGCAGUAGGGAAUCUUCGGCAAUGGACGAAAGUCUGACCGAGCAACGCCGCGUGAGUGAAGAAGGUUUUCGGAUCGUAAAGCUCUGUUGUAAGAGAAGAACGGGUGUGAGAGUGGAAAGUUCACACUGUGACGGUAGCUUACCAGAAAGGGGCGGCUAACUACGUG